rnacentral:rRNA from 1 species
UACGUAGGGUGCAAGCGUUGUCCGGAAUUAUUGGGCGUAAAGAGCUCGUAGGCGGUCUGUCACGUCUGCUGUGAAAACUCGGGGCUUAACCCCGGGCCUGCAGUGGGUACGGGCAGACUAGAGUGCGGUAGGGGAGACUGGAAUUCCUGGUGUAGCGGUGAAAUGCGCAGAUAUCAGGAGGAACACCGGUGGCGAAGGCGGCGACCUGGGUUGACACUGACGCUGAGGCGCGAAAGCGUGGGGAGCAAACAGG